AAUGAACGCUGGCGGCAGGCCUAACACAUGCAAGUCGAGCGGAUGAAGGGAGCUUGCUCCUGGAUUCAGCGGCGGACGGGUGAGUAAUGCCUAGGAAUCUGCCUGGUAGUGGGGGAUAACGUCCGGAAACGGGCGCUAAUACCGCAUACGUCCUGAGGGAGAAAGGGGGGGAUCUUCGGACCUAAAGCUAUCAGAUGAGCCUAGGUCGGAUUAGCUAGUUGGUGGGGUAAAGGCCUACCAAGGCGACGAUCCGUAACUGGUCUGAGAGGAUGAUCAGUCACACUGGAACUGAGACACGGUCCAGACUCCUACGGGAGGCAGCAGUGGGGAAUAUUGGACAAUGGGCGAAAGCCUGAUCCAGCCAUGCCGCGUGUGUGAAGAAGGUCUUCGGAUUGUAAAGCACUUUAAGUAGGGAGGAAGGGCAGUAAGUUAAUACCUUGCUGUUUUGACGGUACCAACAGAAUAAGCACCGGCUAACUUCGUG
rnacentral:rRNA from 1 species